GGUGUAGGCGGUUUGGCAAGUCGAGUGUGAAAUCCCAGGGCCCAACCCUGGAACUGCACUCGAUACUGCUUGACUAGAGUCCCGGAGAGGGUGGCGGAAUUCCCGGUGUAGAGGUGAAAUUCGUAGAUAUCGGGAGGAACACCAGUGGCGAAGGCGGCCACCUGGACGGUGACUGACGCUCAGACCCGAAAGCGUGGGGAGCAAACAGGAUUAGAUACCCUGGUAGUC
rnacentral:rRNA from 1 species